rnacentral:lncRNA from 1 species
AAACCCGAGAGCAAAUCAACAUCAAACUUAAUAAUGAAAAUUUUGACUAUUUUAUAAAUUGAGAAUUAGAAAUGCUUUGCUUACACCAAUAAAGAAGAGAUAAAGAACACUUACCACCAAUGAUGAGCUACUUGAAUUCCUCACUCAAUAAAAUCAAGCAAGAUCAAUCACAACAAGCAAACUUUACAUUCACAUACACCAUUAGAAGCACCAUCUCCUAGGGAACGCACCAAAAUGUGAGUAUAAAUUUCACUCCUCAACCCUAAUUACAAGAUGGCCUCAAUUAAGAGUUGCUUAUAAUUGGUGGUAUGAAGGAAAGUAAGCAAUUAACAAGAACAAAAGAUGAACAACGACAAAACAAUUGAAAUGAAUGAUAUGAUGUUUUGUCCUAAAAUAAUUAGUGAAUCAAUCUGAUGACUCACACCCUCUAUCAAAGGUACCUACAUCUUGCGAGAGUACCUCUCUUUCUAUACCUUUAUAAUCUUGUUUUUAAAGCGGUACUCCCAAAAAUUCCUUGAAUUCUUCAACUAUCUUUGGAAUGGACUUUCUCUCAAUUUGUCUUGAUUCCAUUCAUGAUUUAGAAGCAUAGUCAAAAAUUAUAUUGCCCUCCUUCCAUCCUCACUACAAAUUUGUGCAUAAGCUAAACCAUCAUCAAAUACCUUUAUUUAUAUCCAAAUUGCAAUAAUAUAUGGUUGCCCCAAAAUAAAAAGAUAAGAUAAUUCAUCUUAAACAA